ensembl:snRNA U6 U6 spliceosomal RNA
GCUAACUUCGGCAGCACGUAUUGGAAUGGUAAGAGAAAAUCAGCAUGGCCCCUGUGCAAGGCUGACAUGAAAAUGUGUAAAGCAUUCCAUUUUUAA